rnacentral:rRNA from 1 species
UACAGAGGUCUCAAGCGUUGUUCGGAUUCAUUGGGCGUAAAGGGUGCGUAGGCGGCGCGGUAAGUCGGGUGUGAAAUCUCGGGGCUUAACUCCGAAACUGCAUUCGAUACUGCCGUGCUUGAGGACUGGAGAGGAGACUGGAAUUUACGGUGUAGCGGUGAAAUGCGUAGAUAUCAGGAGGAAUACCGACGGCGAAGGCAGGUCUCUGGGCUGACACUGACGCUCAUGCACGAAAGCGUGGGGAGCAAACAGG